UACGGAGGGGGCUAGCGUUGUUCGGAAUUACUGGGCGUAAAGCGCACGUAGGCGGCUUUGCAAGUUAGAGGUGAAAGCCCGGAGCUCAACUCCGGAAUUGCCUUUAAAACUGCAUCGCUAGAAUUGUGGAGAGGUAAGUGGAAUUCCGAGUGUAGAGGUGAAAUUCGUAGAUAUUCGGAAGAACACCAGUGGCGAAGGCGACUACCUGGCCUGUUCUUGACGCUGAGGCGCGAAAGCUAGGGGAGCAAACGGG
rnacentral:rRNA from 1 species